CAGUGACAGCUGUUUUUAUCCGGGUUUCGCUCUAUUUUAUCAUCUACCUGUUUAAACUGCUUUCUUGGUUUAGAAAAAUCUUUGUUACGUGACGAGAUCAGAUUUAUUGCAAGUUAUGUAAUAUUUUUCCAAAGAAAACGUUCAGAGGUCGGAAUACUAGGUAGUGAAGAAUCCAAUCAUGGGAAAACGGAACAAGGAAAAGAGAAAUCCACUCCGGAUGUAAACAGACCAAAAGGAGUAUUUUGGACAGCAGUGUGGGGUGACUAACGGUAAAAGAAAGCAAGUUUUACCAGAAACACUCCUUAAACUGGCCAGACACACGCCGUUUCCCGGUACCUUGAUAUUUUCUGUACAUUUUGAUAUCCUUAACAUGGCUUUAUUUUCAAUUCUUGUUUGACUACAAAUGCACGCUGGCAAUCUGAAUACUUGCAAAAUAAAACAACAUUGUGAUUACAUGCAAAAAAUGUUAAAAUUCUCGAUCGCUUCGUAGCUUCCUCAUAUGUUGUUUACAGGGGGUAUGAAGUGUAUGCGGAUGUGGCCGAGUGGUUAAGGCGACUGACUCGAAAUCAGUUUCCAUCUUGGAGCACAGGUUCGAAUCCUGUCAUCCGCGAUCAACAUUUUUUCAACUUUUUCUUGAUUUUAAAAGAUUUGUAAGAAUUUAUGAAAGUGCAGAUUUUCGUAAGGUGUUAGCAGAGUUUUUUCUAGCAAAAAUAUGUAAACUUUGACCGAAAUAAAAAUUAUAACAGUAGA